CGCCUGUUUAUCAAAAACAUAACCUUUAGCUAAACAAGUAUUAAAGGAGACGCCUGCCCAGUGAACAAUAAACGGCCGCGGUACCCUAACCGUGCAAAGGUAGCAUAAUCAUUUGUCUAUUAAUUGUAGACCUGUAUGAAAGGCAAAAUGAGAGCCCAACUGUCUCUUAUAACAAAUCAAUAAAACUGAUCUUUUAGUACAAAAGCUAAAAUAUCAACAUAAGACCAGAAGACCCUGUGAAGCUUUAACAAACCCAUUAAAUCUAAUAAUGAUUACUUUCGGUUGGGGCGACCUUGGAAUAAAAAAGAACUUCCAACAUAUGACUAUCCAUAAAAAGAGGCAAACAAGCCCACAUUAGAUCCAGCAUAGCUGACAAUUGAAAUAAGUUACUCCAGGGAUAACAGCGCUAUCUUCUUUAAGAGCCCAUAUCAAAAAGAAGGUUUACGACCUCGAUGUUGGAUCAGGACAUCCCAGUAAUGCAUCCGUUACUAAAGGUUCGUUUGUUCAACGAUUAACAGUCCUACGUGAUCUGAGUUCAGACAGG
rnacentral:rRNA from 1 species